rnacentral:lncRNA from 1 species
CUGGGGAGUUGUAUCAGCCCGGAAUUUUCACUUUCAUAUCUGUAUAUUGCUUGAGUUUUCUAAAGCAAGUUUGUAUUACUUUUGUGAUCAGAAAAAGCAAUAAAGAGAAAUUAUUUCCUUGAGGGUAGAACUGUUGGGAAGGAAUGAGGCCUUUUAGAAAACAAUUUCUGGAAAGUCUUAUGAAAGUUCAGGGAGAUUGCAUAUGUGCCAAGGCUGCAGCCUCCAGAUGCCUCCGAAGCUGAUGAUUCUUCAUGAAUCAAGAGUGGAACUGGGUUUAAAACAAAGUAGCUCUGACCCUUCCCAGUGGCCGCUCCCUCCCCCGCGGCUCCAGGUCUCAGCCAGCCCUUUGGUCCUAAGGAUGCAACCUGCCCUCCGUGAAGAGAGCCCUGUGGUCCUGAGGAGUACAGUGGCUGAGGGAGGUGAAUAAAAGCCCCCCGGAGAGGCCCACUUAGUCCCUGGUACCAGGGACUGUCACCUGACAUGGCAGAGGGGCCUCCGCCCAUGUGAACAAGGCUCUGGGGGCGCGAGCCUGGAUCAUCGGAGUGAGUUGAGUGUGCUCGCAGG